rnacentral:rRNA from 1 species
CCUACGGGAGGCAGCAGUGGGGAAUAUUGGACAAUGGGCGAAAGCCUGAUCCAGCAAUACCGCGUGUGUGAAGAAGGCCUUCGGGUUGUAAAGCACUUUAAGUUGGGAAGAAAAAGCUUCACCUAAUACGUGGAGCCUUGACGGUACCGACAGAAUAAGCACCGGCUAACUCUGUGCCAGCAGCCGCGGUAAUACAGAGGGUGCUAGCGUUAAUCGGAUUUACUGGGCGUAAAGCGUGCGUAGGCGGUUUGAUAAGUCGAUUGUGAAAGCCCCGGGCUCAACCUGGGAAUUGCGGUCGAUACUGUCAGACUCGAAAACGGUAGAGGGAGGCGGAACUCCAGGUGUAGCGGUGAAAUGCGUAGAUAUCUGGAAGAACACCGAUGGCGAAGGCAACCUCCUGGGCCUGUUUUGACGCUGAGGCACGAAAGCGUGGGUAGCAAACAGGAUUAGAUACCCUGGUAGUCCACGCCGUAAACGAUGAGAACUUGACGUUGGUUUGCUUAGCAAAUCGGUGUCGUAGCUAACGCGAUAAGUUCUCCGCCUGGGGAGUACGGCCGCAAGGUUGAAACUCAAAGGAAUUGACGG